rnacentral:sRNA from 1 species
CAACUCGUGACAACCAUUGAUGUUUACUCUGUCUUCAUAGUUUUACUUUUUUCAGAAGAGUCAUAUAGUUGGAAUAAGAAGAGUGGAUAUCUUUUUGAGUAGUUAAAAAAUUAAAGCUCCAUGGCAGUUGAAUGGCCUCCUGCAAAACAUCCUUCCUUGAAGCCUAGCACUGAAGUGGAAGAUCCUGCUGUGAAAGGAGCAGUACAAAGAAAGAAUGUACAGACAUUGAGAGCAGAACAAGCCUUACCAGUGGCUUCAGAGGAAGAGCAAGAAAGGCAUGAAAGAAGUGAAAAGAAGCAACCACAGCUAAUUUUAAAACAUGCACUCUGACAGAAAAGACAUCUGAGAAACAAAACAAGCAAAUUUGUUUUCCAUUUUGCACCUGCGCCCCAAAAAAAAAAAGUCUCAAGAACCAGAACUGG